rnacentral:rRNA from 1 species
AUACUCCUGACUGACCGAUAGUGAACCAGUACCGUGAGGGAAAGGCGAAAAGAACCCCGGCGAGGGGAGUGAAAAAGAACCUGAAACCGUGUACGUACAAGCAGUGGGAGCACGCUUAGGCGUGUGACUGCGUACCUUUUGUAUAAUGGGUCAGCGACUUAUAUUCUGUAGCAAGGUUAACCGAAUAGGGGAGCCGAAGGGAAACCGAGUCUUAACUGGGCGUUAAGUUGCAGGGUAUAGACCCGAAACCCGGUGAUCUAGCCAUGGGCAGGUUGAAGGUUGGGUAACACUAACUGGAGGACCGAACCGACUAAUGUUGAAAAAUUAGCGGAUGACUUGUGGCUGGGGGUGAAAGGCCAAUCAAACCGGGAGAUAGCUGGUUCUCCCCGAAAGCUAUUUAGGUAGCGCCUCGUGAAUUCAUCUCCGGGGGUAGAGCACUGUUUCGGCAAGGGGGUCAUCCCGACUUACCAACCCGAUGCAAACUGCGAAUACCGGAGAAUGUUAUCACGGGAGACACACGGCGGGUGCUAACGUCCGUCGUGAAGAGGGAAACAACCCAGACCGCCAGCUAAGGUCCCAAAGUCAUGGUUAAGUGGGAAACGAUGUGGGAAGGCCCAGACAGCCAGGAUGUUGGCUUAGAAGCAGCCAUCAUUUAAAGAAAGCGUAAUAGCUCACUGGUCGAGUCGGCCUGCGCGGAAGAUGUAACGGGGCUAAACCAUGCACCGAAGCUGCGGCAGCGACGCUGAUGCGUUGUUGGGUAGGGGAGCGUUCUGUAAGCCUG